rnacentral:tRNA from 1 species
GGGCAUUUGGCACAGUGGUAGCGCGCACGCUUCGCAUGUGCUUCAUUGCCUGCGUGAGGUCCAGGGUUCAACUCCCUGAAUGUCCA